rnacentral:rRNA from 1 species
AAGGGAACCCCGAGUGCCUGUAUAUGCAGGCUGUCCAGGUGUCUAAAAAACACCUGAAGAAAGGGCCGGGCAAGACCGGUGCCAGCCGCCGCGGUAAUACCGGCGGCUCGAGUGGUGGCCACUUUUAUUGGGCUUAAAGCGUUCGUAGCUGGGUUGUUAAGUCUCUUGGGAAAUCUGACGGCUCAACCGUCAGGCGUCCAAGGGAUACUGGCAAUCUUGGAACCGGGAGAGGUGAGGGGUACUUCGGGGGUAGGAGUGAAAUCCUGUAAUCCUCGAGGGACCACCUGUGGCGAAGGCGCCUCACCAGAACGGCUUCGACAGUGAGGGACGAAAGCUGGGGGAGCAAACCGGAUUAGAUACCCGGGUAGUCCCAGCCGUAAACGAUGCGCGUUAGGUGUAUCGGUGACCACGAGUCACCGAGGUGCCGAAGGGAAACCGUGAAACGUGCCGCCUGGGAAGUACGGUCGCAAGGCUGAAACUUAAAGGAAUUGGCGGGGGAGCAC